rnacentral:rRNA from 1 species
GUGGAUUAGAUACCCUGGUAGUCCUAGCCCUAAACGAUGCUCAUUAGAUGUGGGAGGUAUCGACCCCUUCCGCGUCGCAGCUAACGCAUUAAAUGAGCCGCCUGGGGAGUACGGCCGCAAGGUUGAAACUCAAAGGAAUUGACGGGGGCCCGCACAAGCGGUGGAACAUGUGGUUUAAUUCGACGCAACGCGAAGAACCUUACCUGGGCUUGAACUACGGAUGGUAAGUCGCUGGAAACAGUGGCUGACCCGCAAGGGAGUCAGCAGAGGUGCUGCACGGUUGUCGUCAGCU